rnacentral:lncRNA from 1 species
UGUUUUUUUUUUAGAUAUGACCCUUUCGUCUUGAAUUCCUUGCCUCACAUCUGAAUGAAAUGCUUAUCAGUAUUAAAAAAUAUCACAUCAUAGAUCCAUAUAUAUUGUUCUUUUGGUGAGGGGUAUUCUGUUGUGGUAUUUGGAUUAUUUAUACACAGUUCAGGUAUCUCUUCAAAUUGCUACAAAUCGGUAACUUGUGUAGUGGUCAGAAUUAACCUACAUAAGGGCGGAGUGAAACAAGUUUUAAGUGCAAACGGAGUACUAGCUCUUGCCACUGUUGGGCCUAAUCGGGCUGCCUGCUAGCAUUUCUGUCUUGGCUGCUUGCGACUUGGGCGGCAUGCUGGCUUGUGCUGGUACGGACGGAGAAAUGUCUUUGCUGCUUGCGACUUGGGCGGCAUGCUGGCUUGUGCCAGUACGGACAGAGAAAGGAAUAGGAGUGAGAUUCAGUAAGGUGAGAUGUUGAUAUGUCUUAUGUUUGCAUUGAGACAGCUCUCUCAAGUAAAUGGCACCGGUGGAGAAGAGAGCCCUGUUUUUAUAGAUAUAUGACCCUUUUGUAUUGAAUUCUUCGUCCCACUUCUGAAUGAAAUGCUUAUCAGUAUUAAGCAAUAUCAUAGCACAGAUCCAUAUAUUUUGUUCUUUCGACGAGGUGUAUUCUGUUGCUGUGAGAUAUGGAUUAUUUAUAAAGUUUAGAUCUGUCAAAGUUUGUACAAAGAUGGUAACUUAUGUAGUGGUCAGAAUUAACCUAGACAAGGACAAGGUGAAACGAGUUUUGAGUGCAAAUGAAGUGCCUGCUCUUGCAACUGUUGUGCCUCAGAGGGUGCUGCUUGUUAGCUAUUUCUGUCUUUGCUGCCAGCGACUUGGGCGGCGUGCUGGCUUGUGCCGGUACGGACAAGAGAAAAGGGAAUAUGAGUGAGAUUCAGCCAAGUGAGAUGUUGAUGUGAUGCAUAUACUUCAUCACUUCCUAAACAAAAAUCAUGUACCAAUCUGAUAUUUUCUAUACUUCUUUUCUACCCUCUCCGUUCCAAAGUAAGUGUCACAGUUUUAGUUCGAAGGUUGAUGGUAUCAAACUUCUUUAGUGGCACUUCAUCUCUAGUUAUCAGUUACAGCAUGGUAAAUAUUCCCUCCUAUCUCACAAUAUAAGAGCGUUUUGCAAGCUAACAUAGCUUGCAAAACGCUCUUAUAUUAUGGGACGGAGGGAGUAUUUUACUGGACAGCUCAUUGAAAUAUCGUUUCUUAUUCUGUGAAUGCAAGAUGAUUGUCAAUGGCAUGUCUGUAUUCCGUGAAUGCAAGACCAUUCUCAAAGGCAUGCCGGUUUCCAGCACAUCCUCUUGGUCAGCUGUUGCAGACGAAAUGCCUGCAGCAGAGCAUUCACGAAAAGCCUGCAGCAGAGCAUUCACGAAAAGCCUGCAGCAGAGCAUUCUACUAUGAACCUUAUUGUACCUUUUCAAAAUAAAUUAGUACAAACAUUUGUUAUCUAGCUUCGUCAACCAUUUCUCUCUUUUGUUGCCAUUUGUAAGUCAAGGGUCAAUUCUGCUGUAGCCUGAGUUUUUGAAUGAAAAAUGCUGAAAGGUUUUGAUCAAAUAAGUUUGGCUUGGAAGCCUUGUAAAGCAUGGCAAGGUCUGCUCCAGUAUUUGAUAAUCUUCUGCUCAGCUAGGCACUUAACUAAUGUACUAUCGAAACUGCAUCCUUUCAUGCGAACAUUUCGAAUGGAAAUGCAUUGAUAGCCAUCUCUCUCUUUUGUUGUCAUUUAUAAGUAACGGAUCAAUUGUGCUGUAGCCAGGGUUUGUAAAUGAAAACUUGAAAGGUGUUCAAAGGUUUUGAUGGCUUGGAAGCCUUGGAAAGCAUCGCUAAGGUCAGGUUUUGUAGUUGAUAAUCUUCUGCUCAGCUAGGUAUCUAGAAUUGCCUCCAUUCAUGAUGUAUGUGCAUUUUGAUUUUGACAGUAAAUAUCUUGAUUUCCUACUCAAUAAUUCAAGAUAUCACCUAAGCCUGGCCUAGAUGCAAUUUUUAUUGUAUAUAUUUUGCAGGUUCAGGUUCAGGUUCGGGAAUUAAGAGUGUAUUAAUCAUUAUGUGGAUUAUGGUUUGUUAGUAGUGUUAACAUAUGAUUAUUACUAGUAAGGUGGAGAAGUGCUCUUUAUUACUACUACUUUCCUAAAGUAAUGUAAGAGCGGUUAGGUCACUACUUUAGUGCUCUAAACGCUCUUAUAUUACUUUACAGAGGGAGCAAAUUUUAUUGUAUUUUUUAGUCGCACCACCUGUGCAUCUGUCAGCUUGUCAACAACUAGUUAGGCUGGAUUAGCCUAUCCUAACCCAUCAUACAUUAAUAUCUGCAUCUGAAAAAUAAAAUCAUAUUAACUUGGUAGUCUCUAGUUUAUUCUAUGCAUAUGCCCUUGCUAAUCCUGUGCACAGCGACGAUGGAACUUGAAUUAGCAUUGCGGAGGCAAAGAAGCUUCUGGAAAGAUUGUAAAAAUACUAAGGUGUUGCAAGAGUGCCUGCUGAUGUAUUCUUUUUACCUCUUAAGCCUUGGUUGGAUUGCCGUUUUCGUCUCAAAUACCCCUGUAAAAAAAAUACAGAUCUCUGCCCACCGUUUUGUUUUCAGCUAGAAAUAUACUAGUGACCGGUAAAAUACAGGUGUAAAAUAAAUGCGUCUGUAUUUGAAAAUGGCAAUCCAAGCAAGGCUUUAGGGUUAUGGCCCAUAUCUAUUGAAAUUUGGUAAGUAAUGGUUAUGGCCAUAUCUAUUGAAAUUUGUUAAGUAAUGUGGUCUCAGGAUGAGUACAGCUUGGUUUUUCUCCUGUAAUGUGGUAACAAUGAAUGGUUCAACUGUUUUGCUGUCUGGGAUUUCUUGAUAAUGUCCAGC